rnacentral:rRNA from 1 species
UACAGAGGGUGCGAGCGUUAAUCGGAAUUACCGGGCGUAAAGGGCGCGUAGGCGGUUAUAUAAGUUAGAUGUGAAAUCCCUGGGCUUAACCUAGGAACUGCAUCUAAGACUGUAUAACUGGAGUGCAGUAGAGGGUAGUGGAAUUUCCGGUGUAGCGGUGAAAUGCGUAGAUAUCGGAAGGAACACCAGUGGCGAAGGCGGCUACCUGGACUGACACUGACGCUGAGGCGCGAGAGCGUGGGGAGCAAACAGG